rnacentral:misc_RNA from 1 species
GCAAAGGAAAUUAAGUGGGGUGGUGCUAAACACGAACCUACUGAUAAGGACGAUGAUGGCCGAAAAAUGCACCCACGGUCUUCGUUCAAGGCGUUCUUGGAAAUUGUAAAGCUAAGGAGUUUACCUUGGGAGGAUGUUGAAAUGGAUGCAAUUCAUUCCUUGCAGCUCAUAUUGCGUGGAGCUCUACAAGAUGAGAUUAAAAAU